rnacentral:tRNA from 16 species
GGUUCUGCCUAAACUGAGGGUGUGAAACCAAUUGGCUUUUAACCAAUUGGUCGUAGGUUCGAAUCCCACACGACCCACCA